GCUCAGGAUGAACGCUGGCGGCAUGCCUAACACAUGCAAGUCGAGCGAUCUUCUUCGGAAGAGAGCAGCGGACGGGUGAGUAACGCGUGGGUAACCUACCUUAUACACAUGGAUAACAUACCGAAAGGUAUGCUAAUACAAGAUGAUAUAAGAGAUUCGCAUGGAUUUCUUAUCAAAGCUCCGGCGGUAUGAGAUGGACCCGCGUCUGAUUAGCUAGUUGGUAAGGUAACGGCUUACCAAGGCGACGAUCAGUAGCCGACCUGAGAGGGUGAUCGGCCACAUUGAAACUGAGACACGGUCCAAACUCCUACGGGAGGCAGCAGUGGGGAAUAUUGCACAAUGGGCGAAAGCCUGAUGCAGCAACGCCGCGUGAGCGAUGAAGGCCUUCGGGUCGUAAAGCUCUGUCCUCAAGGAAGAUAAUGACGGUACUUGAGGAGGAAGCCCCGGCUAACUACGUGCCAGCAGCCGCGGUAAUACGUAGGGGGCUAGCGUUAUCCGGAUUUACUGGGCGUAAAGGGUGCGUAGGUGGUUUCUUAAGUCAGGAGUGAAAGGCUACGGCUCAACCGUAGUAAGCUCUUGAAACUGGGAAACUUGAGUGCAGGAGAGGAAAGUGGAAUUCCUAGUGUAGCGGUGAAAUGCGUAGAUAUUAGGAGGAACACCAGUAGCGAAGGCGGCUUUCUGGACUGUAACUGACACUGAGGCACGAAAGCGUGGGGAGCAAACAGGAUUAGAUACCCUGGUAGUCCACGCCGUAAACGACAAUAGGAGGGUCGGGGGUACCCCCCUCGGUGCCGCAGCUAACGCAUAAGUUAAUCCGCCUGGGGAGUACGCUCGCAAGAGUGAAAACUCAAAGGAAUUGACGGGGGCCCGCACAAGUAGCGGAGCAUGUGGUUUAAUUCGAA
rnacentral:rRNA from 1 species